rnacentral:rRNA from 15 species
GGUUAAGCGACUAAGCGUACACGGUGGAUGCCCUGGCAGUCAGAGGCGAUGAAGGGCGUGCUAAUCUGCGAUAAGCGCCGGUAAGGUGA